GAUGAAGAACGCAGCGAAAUGCGAUAAGUAGUGUGAAUUGCAGAAUUCAGUGAAUCAUCGAAUCUUUGAACGCACAUUGCGCCCGCUAGUAUUCUGGCGGGCAUGCCUGUCCGAGCGUCAUUUCAACCCUCAAGCCCCCGGGCUUGGUGUUGGGGAUCGGCGAGCCUCCGCGCCCGCCGUCCCCUAAAUCUAGUGGCGGUCUCGCUAUAGCUUCCUCUGCGUAGUAGCACACCUCGCACUGGGAAACAGCGCGGCCACGCCGUUAAACCCCCAACUUCUGAACGUUUGACCUCGGAUCAGGUAGGAAUACCCGCUGAACUUAAGCAUAUCAAUAAGCGGAGGA
rnacentral:misc_RNA from 1 species